rnacentral:rRNA from 1 species
CAACUUCAACAACGGAUCUCUUGGCUCUCGCAUCGAUGAAGAACGCAGC